rnacentral:rRNA from 1 species
CCUACGUGUGGCAGCAGUCGAGAAUCAUUCACAAUGGGGGAAACCCUGAUGGUGCGACGCCGCGUGGGGGAAUGAAGGUCUUCGGAUUGUAAACCCCUGUCAUGUGGGAGCAAAUUAAAAAGAUAGUACCACAAGAGGAAGAGACGGCUAACUCUGUGCCAGCAGCCGCGGUAAUACAGAGGUCUCAAGCGUUGUUCGGAAUCACUGGGCGGAAAGCGGGCGUAGGCUGUUGCGUAAGGCGUGAGUGAAAGGCGCGGGCUCAACCCGCGGACGGCACAUGUUACUGCUGGACUAGAGUAAUGGAGGGGGAACCGGGAUUCUCGUUGUAGCAGUGAAAUGCGUAGAUUUCGAGAGGAACACUCGUGGCGAAGGCGGGUUCCUGGACAUUAACUGACGCUGAGGCACGAAGGCCAGGGGAGCGAAAGGGAUUAGAUACCCUUGUAGUC